rnacentral:rRNA from 1 species
GCCCGCUCAGAAACUUAAAGGAAUUGACGGGGGCCCGCACAAGCGGUGGAGUAUGUGGUUUAAUUCGAUGCAACGCGAAGAACCUUACCUGGUCUUGACAUCCCGGAGACCCUUAGGAAACUAGGGGGUGCUUCCAUCUGGAAGAAUCUGGAGACAGGUGCUGCAUGGCUGUCGUCAGCUCGUGUCGUGAGAUGUUGGGUUAAGUCCCGCAACGAGCGCAACCCUUGCCUUUAGUUGCCAGCAGUUCGGCUGGGCACUCUAAAGGGACUGCCGGUGUUAAACCGGAGGAAGGUGGGGAUGACGUCAAGUCCUCAUGGCCUUUAUGACCAGGGCUACACACGUACUACAAUGGCCGAUACAAAGGGCAGCGACACUGCGAGGUGAAGCCAAUCCCGUAAAAUCGGUCUCAGUCCGGAUUGGAGUCUGCAACUCGACUCCAUGAAGUUGGAAUCGCUAGUAAUCGUGGAUCAGCAUGCCACGGUGAAUACGUUCCCGGGCCUU